rnacentral:rRNA from 1 species
UAGUCAUAUGCUUGUCUCAAAGAUUAAGCCAUGCAUGUCUCAGUGUAAACUUUUAAACAGUGAAACUGCGAAUGGCUCAUUAAAACAGUUAUAGUUUAUUUGGUAUUCACCUUUACAUGGAUAACCGUGGGAAUUCUAGGGCUAAUACAUGCGUACCCGCAAGGGUUGUGUUUAUUAGAUUAAAACCAUCACUGCAGCAAUGCAGUUUAGUUGGAAUAAUAAUAACCGUUCGGACCGCACGCUUCGAGUGGCGGUAAACCAUUCAAGUUUCUGACCU